GGCCUAACACAUGCAAGUCGAGCGGAAACGACACUAACAAUCCUUCGGGUGCGUUAAUGGGCGUCGAGCGGCGGACGGGUGAGUAAUGCCUAGGAAAUUGCCUUGAUGUGGGGGAUAACCAUUGGAAACGAUGGCUAAUACCGCAUAAUGCCUACGGGCCAAAGAGGGGGACCUUCGGGCCUCUCGCGUCAAGAUAUGCCUAGGUGGGAUUAGCUAGUUGGUGAGGUAAUGGCUCACCAAGGCGACGAUCCCUAGCUGGUCUGAGAGGAUGAUCAGCCACACUGGAACUGAGACACGGUCCAGACUCCUACGGGAGGCAGCAGUGGGGAAUAUUGCACAAUGGGCGAAAGCCUGAUGCAGCCAUGCCGCGUGUAUGAAGAAGGCCUUCGGGUUGUAAAGUACUUUCAGUUGUGAGGAAGGGGGUAGCGUUAAUAGCGCUAUCUCUUGACGUUAGCAACAGAAGAAGCACCGGCUAACUCCGUGCCAGCAGCCGCGGUAAUACGGAGGGUGCGAGCGUUAAUCGGAAUUACUGGGCGUAAAGCGCAUGCAGGUGGUUCAUUAAGUCAGAUGUGAAAGCCCGGGGCUCAACCUCGGAACUGCAUUUGAAACUGGUGAACUAGAGUACUGUACAGGGGGGUAGAAUUUCAGGUGUAACGGUGAAAUGCAUAUAGAUCUGAAGGAAUACCCAGUGGCGAA
rnacentral:rRNA from 1 species